UAAACCAAGAGCAAUUUUCUUUCUCUGACCUAACAGAUAUGACAGAGCUGUCUCCAUGGGGAGAUGCCCUCCCUGAGCCAGUGGAGGGACCUUCAGUCUGCUCUUGCAUGUGCUGGACAAGGUUUUCUCUCAACAAGCUGAUGACAGAAUAAUUUUUCCAAGUUGAUUGUUUGCCCCAUAUGGACCUCUGGAGAUCUUCAUACAGUGGAAAGAAGGAGAUCAAAAGGCUAGAAGAAAAAAGAGGCGGAGGACUGAAAAAAGCCAACAUAAAGAUCCUGCUCAGGUUUCAGUCUGGUGAUGAACAGACUUGCUCAGAGUGUUUUCUGAAAAAGUUCUGCAAGGCAGAGAAGUUGAACACUUGAUCACAUGCAGGAGCACAGGAUAGAUGGAGUACAGCUGACUCAACAGCUACAGGGAAUUUGGGUAAGUGCCCAGCAUGUC
rnacentral:lncRNA from 1 species